rnacentral:rRNA from 1 species
GACGAACCGUGCGAACGUUGUUCGGAAUCACUGGGCUUAAAGGGUGCGUAGGCGGGCUGCCAAGUUCGGGGUGAAAUCCUCCGGCUCAACCGGAGAACUGCCUCGAAUACUGGCGGUCUCGAGGGGGGUAGGGGCAUGCGGAACUAUGGGUGGAGCGGUGAAAUGCGUUGAUAUCCAUAGGAACUCCGGUGGCGAAGGCGGCGUGCUGGACCUCUUCUGACGCUGAGGCGCGAAAGCCAGGGGAGCGAACGGG